CCUACGUGAGGCAGCAGUGAGGAAUAUUGGUCAAUGGGCGCGAGCCUGAACCAGCCAAGUAGCGUGAAGGAUGACUGCCCUACGGGUUGUAAACUUCUUUUAUAAAGGAAUAAAGUGAGGCACGUGUGCCUUUUUGUAUGUACUUUAUGAAUAAGGAUCGGCUAACUCCGUGCCAGCAGCCGCGGUAAUACGGAGGAUCCGAGCGUUAUCCGGAUUUAUUGGGUUUAAAGGGAGCGUAGAUGGGUUGUUAAGUCAGUUGUGAAAGUUUGCGGCUCAACCGUAAAAUUGCAAUUGAUACUGGCAGUCUUGAGUACAGUUGAGGUAGGCGGAAUUCGUGGUGUAGCGGUGAAAUGCUUAGAUAUCACGAAGAACUCCGAUUGCGAAGGCAGCUUACUAAACUGCCACUGACAUUGAUGCUCGAAAGUGUGAGUAUCAAACAGGAUUAGAUACCCCAGUAGUC
rnacentral:rRNA from 1 species